AUCCAGCUGACGAGUCCUAAAUUGGACGAAACGCGCGUCCUGGAU
rfam:Schistosoma mansoni strain Puerto Rico chromosome 1, complete genome